rnacentral:lncRNA from 1 species
CAUGAUCAUCCCCUACACCACCAAACAAAGAACUGCCUCUUGACCCAGGCAAGGAAUAGCCGUGUGGAGGCAAGGAUUGAAACAAAUCCCUAAAUAAAGGAGGUUGUGGAGGAAGAUUAAGGUGAAAAAGUGGGUCAUAGAGACUAGAAGAGGCAGAAGCUGUGUCUGUCAUUGGAAGAUCUCCAACAAAACUUAAUGGAGUUGUAUGGUUAGGGUUUGUGAAAGAAAUUGAAGAAUUUGGAAGCAAGGAAGAUCUGGGUAAGCGAAAAAGGUUACGCAGGUCUGGUGUUGGAGUAUAUGCUGAAUCUGGUAAAGAAGAUGAUGAUGUAAAAGCCAAAUAAUUUGAUGAUUCAUGCAUUAAAUGGGCAUUCAAAUCCAUUUGUUGGAUUUGAAGUUGGAUUUCCAUUACAGCAGCAGAAGCAUCCUCUUCUAGAUGUGGAUUGUUGAAGCUAUGGUGACAAAGUUCAUCAGCAGAUAGCUUAAGAUUUUCUUCAAGGCUAUUAUGGCUGGUUGUUGUACUACUACCCGCCAUAAGCGGCGGCGGUGGUAGUGGUGGUUGCAAAACUUGACAAAGCCCACCUUCAGGUCCUUCUACCAUGGAGUUUGGAUCAAAACAAUCCGUCUCUUCAUACAUUUUUCCGAUCUAGUUACAUAAGAUACAAAGUCCAUUAACAAAGCCCAAAAAGAACAAGAAAAAUAAAUUUAAAACGCAUAAAAUAAACAACAUUUCAAUAAAAAGCUUAUAGUAAGAUCAAAAGCUUCAAGAACAAAAACCCAGAUGCGAAAUUAGCUAGUUUUACAGAGAAUUGAAAGAAAGAAGUGUGAAUAUAUAUGGAACCAAUAUAUUUUUUCAGUUGCAGUUAUGAAUAGAGAAGGUUUGUUAGAGACAGAGAGAGAGGAAAUGGAAAUUUUAGCUUAAAUUAUAUAUGAAAAUGAAAUAUGAGGAGGAGGAGAAGGAGAAGGAAUUGAAAGAUGGAACUGCAAAUACUGCAUGCCUUAUGUGAUGAUUUCCUUUUGUUCACAGAAAGGGAGGUUGUUACUCAGAUUCUUGUUACUGGGCCCCACUCACAAUCUCUCUCUAUAUAUAUAGAAUUUUCCAGAUGAUUUUCAGUUUUGCCUUUUUACUUUUUUUUUUCCCUCCAUUUAUUAUAAAUUUGUUUCCUUUCCCAAUUUUUCUAAGCAACUGUCCAUUUGUCACUACAAUACCAAAGUUCUUUAUUCCUGCCUGAAAAGAUCAUGAGUUGGAAUUUUUUCUUUCUUUUCUUUUAACUUAAUACAAAAAUGGAAAAUAGAGAUUUAUGUGGGUGGAUCUGGCGCGAAUAGGGAUUAAUCCUAGUCGGGUUGAGGAUAUGUAUAAUUAGGUUGUUUUCGGCAACAAGCUUUUAGUGUUUUGACUUUUUAUACUAUUUCAUAAUAUAGCAUUUGAAUUAGUUUUUAGAGGUUAAAAUAACGUUUUAUAAAAGGUUAACUCUUAUUAUGAAAAGCUACUCAAUAUUAAAAUAGCUACCAACUACUGAAAUAGCUAUUUUUGCGGAAUAUUCCCUUAAUAAUAAAAGAAAAGGAAAAUGAUUUGAAAGAAAAUAUUCUUGCAAAAUUUCAGCAUUUAGAUGAGAAUUUCUUUUUCUUAAUUAUAGGAAAUCUGAAAAAGAAAAAAAUAUGGAAUUGCCAAUGGUUUUUUUAUUAUUUUUUAAAUAAAGGAAAAAUCAUAAUAAUUUAUUAAAUCUUGUGCCAUGCUGUUACAUAGUCUUGGCUAAGGACUACUUGUGAAUUGUGAAAUAUGCCAACAUAAAUUUUUCAAGUACAAAUCAGGAACAAGUUGCUUUGAAGAUUUGUUUGAUAAUGAAGAUUUGUUGUUUUUUCUUCUUGUGGUAAUGAACUUGGUAAAAUUAAAACUACAUAAACAUGCUAAAAGCAAUGCUGCAAACAAACCAUAUUUUACUUCUCAAAACAUUGGUAGAUUAUGGAGUUGUUAUUGAUUAAUAAUCCUUUUUAUAAAAAAUUAUAGUGAUUCGACUUAGAUUAUGGAGAGUAGGAGGUAUCAAGUUUGAGACCUCUCCGUCACAAAAAUUUUCAUCAAUUUAGACUUUGUUCGGUAACAACUUAUUAAGUAGUUUUUAGUGUUUUGGAACUAUUUUUUUUAAUAUGCGGUAAUAUAACAUUUGAAUUAGUUUUUAAAGUUCAAGUUAAUAUUUUAUAAAAAGUUUUAAUCCAUGAACGUUUAACUUUUAGCAAUUUAUGAAAAGUUACUCAAAUAGCUUACUGCUAAAUGCUACUAAAACAACUAACAGCUAAUAAUAGUUAAUUUUGCCGAAUAGAGAAUUAGUGAGUAAAGGGAAGGUUGGUCUUCUAAAAAUAUAUUUUUGAAGAAUAGGUGCAAUGUUUGUUUUCCUAAAAAAAAAAUUUACAAGAAGGGAAAACUGUAGAGAAAAAAACAAAAGGGUACAAAACACAACAAUAGAAAAAGUAAAUGUUUUGUAAUUAAUGUGGCAAAGGUAAUGAUUUAGGUUGGGAUUAACUGCAGGUUAAUUGGAAAGACAAAGUAUACUUAAUUUAAUUUCCAUUUGCGUAAUAAGAAGAAUACAAAUUUGAGGUUGAAUUGGAUGGUAAUGCAAGAAAUCAAAAAUUGAGAAUUGCGUUUUAGCAAAUAUAUAUAUAUAUAUAUACACACGUCGCAGAAGAGAGAGAACGAGUACAGGUUAGUUCGUUUGAUAAUAUAAAUAAUUAAUUGUACGUGAAUACGUUUAUCUUUGUCGGAAAAACUGGAUCAUGAUCUCCAAAUUAGAGUUUUGCAGGCAUCAAAUUGGACAGUUUCAAGAGGCAACCCAGCUUUUUGCUGCUUCCUUCCUUCAGCUUUUCUCUGCCCAUUUUGGUCAAGGACAAUCAAUUACUAAAUACCCCUUUUAGUCUUUUCAAAAAAGAUGGUUUGAUUCUUCAUGCCUAUUACUCUUAGGAACUGAACCACAUCCAAUAGAACCAAUUCGAUUUGGUUUUGUUUUGAUUUUAAAGAAGUUUAGUUUAUUCAGUCGGCUAUCUUAAAGUCUAUAUAUUUGCUCAUUGUCAAAUGUUUCAAUAGCGUUUUUUUAUAAAAUCAAUAAACUUUGUUUUGUUAUUUUUUUUCAUGUCUAUGAGAGGUCUGGUCCUGUGUCCUUAAUAGGCUGUUUGUCUCUAAUCAAUGAAAUUAAACAGCGUGGAAAGGAAACUAUUCAUGUAAUUUUUUGAAGCAAUGAUUUUGGAGUAGCUUAAAGUUAAAACAGUUGCUUGCAUGCUUUAUUUGGCAAAAAAUCGGUUAUAAUAAUAAAUUUUGGAUCUCAGACGGAUAAAGAGGUGAGGGCUGCAGGGGGGCCAUGUGACCAUAGGGUUAGCUUUCAUGUUCUUUAGCUCAGGUUUGCAUGUAAUUUACUAUGCAUCUUUUGAGUGGUGGAGAGAGUUAAUUUGUGCUAUUCAGUUUAAUUUUGCUGAAUUGAACCUGUUGUGCAAUUUUGUAUAUCUCACCUUCUGUCCUGCAAGCUACACAUGGUUCAUUAACUGAAAAAGGUCUGGUGAUGAUUUAUCUGAUCUAACAGCCAAAACUUGAUUUAAUGAUUCUUGAGUUAAAUGGGUAGUCAAAUCCUUUUGUUGAAUUUGAAGUGGGAUUUUCAUGACAGCAGUAGCAACAGCAGAAACAUCCUCUUCUUGAUUUGGAUUAUUCAUGCUAUGGUGAUAAGAGAUUCCAUCUGUGGAAAGCUUAAGAUUUUCUUCAACGCUAUUAUGGCUUUUUACAGUACCCCCUGCCAUAAGUGGCGUUGGUAGUUGCAGAACUUGAGAAAGCCAUCUUCUGGUCCUUCUGCCAUGGAGUUUGGAUCAAAACAACUUGUCUCUUGAUAUAUUUUUUUUGAUUUAGCUACAUAAAAAGCAAAGUCCAUCAAAAAAACCAAAAAAGAACAAGAAAAAGGAAAUUAAAAACACAAAAAAAUAAAAAAAGACCGUGGAGAAAAAGCUUACAGUAAGAAUUAAAACGCUUCAAGAAGAGAUCCCAGAUGGAGUUUUACAGAGAAUUGAAGGAAAGAGUGUGAAUAUGGAAUUAAAAUCUUUUAGUUGCAGUUAUGAGAGAGAGAGUGUGUGUUUGUUAUAAAGAAAGAAAGAGAAAGAUGGAAAUUUUUGCAUAAAUUAGAAAAUGAAAUACGUAGGAAAAGAAGGUGGUAGGAGGAAGAGAGGAACUGCAGAAAAUGCAAGCUUUAUGUGAUGAUUUCCUUUCCUAAGGGAUAUUUGUGUACUUAAUUCCUGUUAUUGGGCCCCACUCGUAAUCUCAUUAUAAUCCUAUAUUUUCAGAAGAUUUUCAAUCUUGCCUUUCUAGUUUUAGAAUAUUCAAUGUUAGCUCUGUCAAAAUGGAUUGUUCGGCCGGGCCGGGCCUAGCCCAUGCAAACUCGGUUCUAAAAUGGGCCGAGCCGAAAAAGCUUGUUAUGUAGUUAGAAUAAUGAGAAAAAUAAACCAUGACAUAUCAGAUUGAUUUAUCUUAAAAGUAAUUUUUGAUGGCUUGAUUUGUCUUAUUAUAAUAUUUUUCUCAUUAGCAGUUCAAAAAUAUAUUAUUUUGCAAAAAAAUCAUUUUAAAAAUAUUUGAAUUUUCACUUCAUGAUGAAUGUCUCUAAGCUUUAUGUAGUAUAUAUAUAUUAAAAAAAUUAUUAUGAAUUUAUUAGAAUUUUAACAUUAUUAUGAAUGUCGUAUCCUAUAUAGGCCUUGGAGUACUCGAGUCGGACAUAGUUAUAAUCCAAUAAGCUUUCGGAUAUAGGUAACCAUCAAAGAAUUUUAACUUGGUAACUGUAGAUUAAGUUGAUUUAACUCCAAAAAAAUAUUUCAAUCCACAUAAUCAACACCCAUUUGGCUAAAACGUAUUAGAAAGCAAUUAGUUUCGCUAAGAAAAAGUACAUUAUCUUUUAUAACUUUACUGAUUUGUCUCAAAUUCUCAAACAUUACAUCUACUCUUAUUAGCCACUUCAUAACCUAUACCUCAUUUUUCACCUACCCAACUUCUUGGCCUGCUAAUAGCAGCUUGUAGAUGGAGUUGAUGCAUACUGCCUGUCCACCACCUCAAUCAGCUUGUUUGCUAUUGCACUAGCAUAAACUGAAGAUCCUUCAUAUAUCUGAACAUUACAAGUUUAAUGGGUUAAAACCUAGUUAAAUUAAAACCUAAUUGAACAUCAAAAAAUGCGUUAAAACCAAAUUAUGAACGCUAACCUUGGAGUUAAACAAGAAGCUGUAGUAAUCACCAACAUGUCCACCAGCAACAUGAUGAAGAUCCAGUUGAAGUUCAUCAAGAACUUUGGAUACAAACAGCAAGCAAUUGAUCUUCUUUCUUUGAACAAGUUUAAUAGUAACUUCAUCAUCUAUUAUUCUAACAUCUACCUCUGUGUCUUUGGAUUUUCUUUGAAGCCAAGAGCUCCUUAAUGCCCCAUUAUUGAAAGACUGAUCUGGAUCGUCAAUAAUCUUGCUCUCAGGACCAUUGCCAAUGGAAUCUUCUUCAAUCUUUUGUCUCUUUCUCCUCUCUCUGGCCAAUCUCUUUUUCUCCACCAGAAUUUUCAGUUCAUUUACAGUUCUAAGAAGUUCUUUGAUGUAACUAAUUGCAUCUCCAACCACAGAGGCUCUAUCACUCUUUCUCAUCAAACAACAUAAAUAACAACUGAAUUAGCUAAUGUAACAUCAAGAAAAAUAUAUGUCUGUGUAAUUUUAACAAACACCUUUCAAAUGAAACCAAUUAGAACUAAAGAUUUUGCUCUCUUUUAUCUUCUUAAAUUAAUUUUGUUCAACUAGAAAUUAAAGGAGGAGCUUAACUAUAUAUCUAUGGGAUAUUGAAAGAGAAACUAAUUAAAUACCUUAGAAGAGUUAGGGACCAAAUUUUUCAAGUCAUCAUAUUUAUCUUUGAGGUUUUGUCUCCUUUGACGCUCAGUAGCAAAGUGUUUGAUAUUUCCACCUUGUCUACCUUUACCCAUACAAGCCAUAUCCCAUGUAAAAUCCAAAACCCCAUUAUCAAACUGCUGCUCUCCAUCUCCUUCUUGAUAAAGAUUCACUCCUCCACUUCCCUCUACAUGAUCAUCCCCUACACCACCAAACAAAGAACUGCCUCUUGACCCAGGCAAGGAAUAGCCGUGUUGAGGCAAAGAUUGAAACAAAUCCCUAAAUAAAGGAGGUUGUGGAGGAAGAUUAAGGGGAAAAAGUGGGUCAUAGAGAAUAGAAGAAGCAGAAGCUGUGUCUGUCAUUGGAAGAUCUCCAACAAAGCCUAAUGGAGUUGUAUGGUUAGGGUUUGUGAAAGAAAUUGAAGAAUUUGGAAG